rnacentral:rRNA from 1 species
UACAGAGGGUGCUAGCGUUGUUCGGAAUCAUUGGGCGUAAAGGGCGUGUAGGCGGUUUGUUAAGUCAUGUGUGAAAUCCCUCGGCUCAACCGGGGAAGGACGCAUGAAACUGGCAAGCUAGAGUACCAAAGAGGGGGGUGGAAUUCCCGGUGUAGCGGUGAAAUUCGUAGAUAUUGGGAAGAACACCGGUGGCGAAGGCGGCUCUCUGGACCGAUACUGACGCUGAGGCGCGAAAGCGUGGGGAGCAAACAGG